rnacentral:rRNA from 1 species
GAUGAACGCUGGCGGCGUGCCUAAUACAUGCAAGUCGAGCGAACGGACGAGAAGCUUGCUUCUCUGAUGUUAGCGGCGGACGGGUGAGUAACACGUGGAUAACCUACCUAUAAGACUGGGAUAACUUCGGGAAACCGGAGCUAAUACCGGAUAAUAUUUUGAACCGCAUGGUUCAAAAGUGAAAGACGGUCUUGCUGUCACUUAUAGAUGGAUCCGCGCUGCAUUAGCUAGUUGGUAAGGUAACGGCUUACCAAGGCAACGAUGCAUAGCCGACCUGAGAGGGUGAUCGGCCACACUGGAACUGAGACACGGUCCAGACUCCUACGGGAGGCAGCAGUAGGGAAUCUUCCGCAAUGGGCGAAAGCCUGACGGAGCAACGCCGCGUGAGUGAUGAUGGUCUUCGGAUCGUAAAACUCUGUUAUUAGGGAAGAACAUAUGUGUAAGUAACUGUGCACAUCUUGACGGUACCUAAUCAGAAAGCCACGGCUAACUACGUG